rnacentral:ribozyme from 13 species
UCUGUUGAUGGGACCAAUUGAUCGCAAAACGUGGGGGAUGAUGAAGGGAGCUGGAGUCAAGAGGGCAAAGAAGAAGUGAAGAAGUGGAAGGAGGAAAAUUCAUUUUAUUUUACUUAUUUUUAUUUCAAUCAUUUUUUUUUCAUAGUAAAGACAAAG